rnacentral:pre_miRNA from 1 species
UCAUUCUUCAAAGUGGUUGUGAAAUGUUUGACCUUUUAUGCAUAUCACAGCCAGCUUUGAGGAGCGACG